rnacentral:rRNA from 1 species
GGCUCAGGAUGAACGCUAGCUACAGGCUUAACACAUGCAAGUCGAGGGGAAACGAUAUUGGAAGCUUGCUUCCGAUAGGCGUCGACCGGCGCGACGGGUGAGUAACGCGUAUCCAACCUCGCCCAUCACUUGGGGAUACCUUGCGAAAGUAAGACUAAUACCCAAUGACGUCUCUAGAAGACAUCUGAAGGAGAUUAAAGAUUUAUCGGUGAUGGAUGGGGAUGCGUCUGAUUAGCUUGUUGGCGGGGUAACGGCCCACCAAGGCGACGAUCAGUAGGGGUUCUGAGAGGAAGGUCCCCCACAUUGGAACUGAGACACGGUCCAAACUCCUACGGGAGGCAGCAGUGAGGAAUAUUGGUCAAUGGGCGAGAGCCUGAACCAGCCAAGUAGCGUGCAGGAUGACGGCCCUAUGGGUUGUAAACUGCUUUAUAAGGGAAUAAAGUGGGAGUCGUGACUCUUUUGCAUGUACCUUAUGAAUAAGGACCGGCUAAUUCCGUG